rnacentral:rRNA from 1 species
GAUGAACGCUGGCGGCGUGCCUAACACAUGCAAGUCGAGCGAUUCUCUUCGGAGAAGAGCGGCGGACGGGUGAGUAACGCGUGGGUAACCUGCCCUGUACACACGGAUAACAUACCGAAAGGUAUGCUAAUACGAGAUAAUAUGCUUCUAUCGCAUGGUAGAAGUAUCAAAGCUCCAGCGGUACAGGAUGGACCCGCGCCUGAUUAGCUAGUUGGUAAGGUAACGGCUUACCAAGGCGACGAUCAGUAGCCGACCUGAGAGGGUGAUCGGCCACAUUGGAACUGAGACACGGUCCAAACUCCUACGGGAGGCAGCAGUGGGGAAUAUUGCACAAUGGGCGAAAGCCUGAUGCAGCAACGCCGCGUGAGCGAUGAAGGUCUUCGGGUCGUAAAGCUCUGUCCUCAAGGAAGAUAAUGACGGUACUUGAGGAGGAAGCCCCGGCUAACUACGUGCCAGCAGCCGCGGUAA